ACAAUGCGCGAAAGCCGCGAUGAGGGGAUCCCAAGUGCUUGCACGUAAGUGUAAGCUGUUUUUCUGUCUAAAAAGCAGAGAGAGUAAGGGCUGGGUAAGACGGGUGCCAGCCGCCGCGGUAAUACCUGCAGCUCAAGUGGUGGCCGCUAUUAUUGGGCCUAAAACGUCCGUAGCCGGCUGAGUAAAUGCCUGGGUAAAUCGUGUGGCUUAACCAUACGAAUUCCGGGUAGACUGCUCAGCUUGGGACCGGAAGAAGUUAGAGGUACUCCUGGGGUAGGGGUGAAAUCCUGUAAUCCUGGGGGGACCACCAGUGGCGAAGGCGUCUAACUAGGACGGGUCUGACGGUGAGGGACGAAGCCCUGGGGCGCAAACCGGAUUAGAUACCCGGGUAGUCCAGGGUGUAAACGCUGCUUGCUUGAUGUUAGCUGGGCUCCGAGCUCGGCUAGUGUCGGAGAGAAGUUGUUAAGCAAGCUGCCUGGGAAGUACGGUCGCAAGACUGAAACUUAAAGGAAUUGGCG
rnacentral:rRNA from 1 species